rnacentral:rRNA from 1 species
AGCAGCCGCGGUAAUUCCAGCUCCAAUAGCGUAUAUUAAAGUUGUUGCAGUUAAAAAGCUCGUAGUUGAAUUUCGGGGGUUCUACCGUUGGUCGGGCUUUGUCUGUACUGGCGUGUAGAAUUUCUACCUUCUGGGGAACUAUCAUGUUAUUAAUUUAGCGUGGUAGGAAACCAGGACCUUUACCUUGAAAAAAUUAGAGUGUUCAAAGCAGGCUUAUGUCUGAAUACAUUAGCAUGGAAUAAUAAAAUAGGACGGUGGUCCUGUUUUGUUGGUUUCUGAAUCACCGUAAUGAUUAAUAGGGAUAGUUGGGGGCAUUAGUAUUCAAUUGUCAGAGGUGAAAUUCUUGGAUUUAUUGAAGACUAACUACUGCGAAAGCAUUUGCCAAGGAUGUUUUCAUUAAUCAAGAACGAAAGUUAGGGGAUCGAAGACGAUCAGAUACCGUCGUAGUCUUAACCAUAAACUAUGCCGACUAGGGAUCGGACGAUGUUAACUUUUCUUGACUCGUUCGGCGCCUUACGGG